CAUAUACUCUCUCUGUCCCAAAAUUCUUGUCUUAGAUUUGUCUAGAUACGGAUGUAUCAACUAUCAAGUCACGUAUUAGGUACAUCCGUAUCUAGACAAAUUUAAGACAAGAAUUUUGGACGGGGUAGUUAAAAC
rfam:Triticum aestivum genome assembly, contig: Triticum_aestivum_CS42_TGACv1_scaffold_220755_3B